rnacentral:rRNA from 1 species
UCCGUAGGUGGAUAAUUAAGUCAGAGGUGAAAUCCUGCAGCUCAACUGUAGAAUUGCCUUUGAUACUGGUUAUCUUGAGUCAUUAUGAAGUGGUUAGAAUGUGUAGUGUAGCGGUGAAAUGCAUAGAUAUUACACAGAAUACCGAUUGCGAAGGCAGAUCACUAAUAAUGUACUGACACUGAGGGACGAAAGCGUGGGGAGCGAACAGGAUUAGAUACCCUGGUAGUCA